rnacentral:rRNA from 1 species
AGCGAACGCUGGCGGCAGGCCUAACACAUGCAAGUCGAACGGACCCUUCGGGGUUAGUGGCGGACGGGUGAGUAACACGUGGGAACGUGCCUUUAGGUUCGGAAUAGCUCCUGGAAACGGGUGGUAAUGCCGAAUGUGCCCUUCGGGGGAAGGAUUUAUCGCCUUUAGAGCGGCCCGCGUCUGAUUAGCUAGUUGGUGAGGUAAAGGCUCACCAAGGCUACGAUCAGUAGCUGGUCUGAGAGGAUGACCAGCCACAUUGGGACUGAGACACGGCCCAAACUCCUACGGGAGGCAGCAGUGGGGAAUCUUGCGCAAUGGGCGAAAGCCUGACGCAGCCAUGCCGCGUGGAUGAUGAAGGUCUUAGGAUUGUAAAAUCCUUUCACCGGUGAAGAUAAUGACUGUAGCCGGAGAAGAAGCCCCGGCUAACUUCGUGCCAGCAGCCGCUGUAACAC